AAGGUCUUAAUUUAAUAAAAAUGUCUGGGUUGCAUUCAGAAUAUGUGAGUUAGUAUCUUGCAGAUCUUA
rnacentral:tRNA from 1 species